rnacentral:rRNA from 1 species
CCUACGGGCGGCUGCAGUGAGGAAUAUUGGUCAAUGGACGAGAGUCUGAACCAGCCAAGUAGCGUGAAGGAUGACUGCCCUAUGGGUUGUAAACUUCUUUUAUAUGGGAAUAAAAUGUUCCACGUGUGGGAUUUUGUAUGUACCAUAUGAAUAAGGAACGGCUAACUCCGUGCCAGCAGCCGCGGUAAUACGGAGGAUCCGAGAGUUAUCCGGAUUUAUUGGGGUUAAAGGGAGCGUAGGGUGUAUGUUAAGUCAGUUGUGAAAGUUUGCGGCUCAACCGUGAAAUUGCAGUUGAAACUGGCAGUCUUGAGUACAGUAGAGGUGGGCGGAAUUCGUGGUGUAGCGGUGAAAUGCUUAGAUAUCACGAAGAACUCCGAUUGCGAAGGCAGUUCACUGGACUGCAACUGACACUGAGGCUCGAAAGUGUGGGUAUCAAACAGGAUUAGAUACCCCUGUAGUC